UAUUCUGGAAAAUAUCUUCAACCUAUGAUAACAAAUAGAUAGUUUGGAAUUUCCGAGUUGAAGUGCUAAAUGGAAGGUCCUUGGCAAUUCUUUCGAAUAAGUGCUCAUUUUGUGGAGUAUGAACAAACAAAAGUUCUGCCAAUAAUUCCAUAUAAAAAGGGAAUUAUCUUAUCCGCUCUUCAUAUAUUUUUAUUUCUUUCGAAAGAAACAUGACAACCAAACUGUUUCUGCUAUUUCUGUUGGUUACGCUUCUAAUGGGAUCUUCACAAUGUGCAAUCUUGAAGAGAAGCGCUCUGCCUUGUUAUCCCCACUGCUACCAUCCACGACCUCAUCAUCAUCAUUAUCAACAUCAUCAUUCCCAUCACCACCAUCAUGGACAUCAUCAUCAUCACUGGUGAAAAUUUAUAUGCGAAAACCCCUCUCUACCAUUUCUUCUCCAGGGAGGCGAAUCUUCAAGUUGAUGAUUUUUUUUAUAUAGUAGAUAUUACAAAAACAACACAAAGAUGAGUUAGAUAUAUCAAGAUGAAAUUUCAUUAUAAACAUAUUUUUUUUUCUUUCAAAUUACUGAGUUUGUUUCAAUUAUACCUAUAUAAUUAAUUCAACUAGUUAUAUUAUAUUAUAUUAUUAUAUUAGUUAUAUAUUAGUUUAUAUUCAAUUUUAAUUUGAGAAAAAUGAUUUAUUACUCUAGUUAAUUAUUUACAUAGUUGUUAUGUAAAUCUUAUACAAAUAAAAUAAGUAAAUAUAUGAAUACUUUAUACUUCGUUCUUGAUCUAGAGUGGGCUAGAAAUUUGUGAUUGUAUAUUUCCAUACAGUUUGAAAAAACUUUGUUAUACUUUUAUGGAUCAGUUAUGAAUACAUACCUAAGGCUUCCAAUAUGUCCAAGUAGAAGGAUUCACCCAUGUAGUUUUCCUUAGUUAGGAAGCUUCAAAGGGAAAAAAAUUAAAUACCAAAAAAAAAGAAUGAAGUUCGAUCCUUUUUUUGCCACUCCUUCACCAUCGACUAUUUCUCAUAAGAGUUAUAUUUCAAAACCAAGUGUCGACUGAUACAGAUCUGGACCGUUUGAGAUAUCGAUUUCUAAUGUGAUUUAUGUUAGCUGACGUAUUAUUCAGAUGAACAGAAAAGGAGUGAAACUCAUUACACACCUUGUUGCACAUGACGAGCCUUCAGCACGACUUAAAGAGGUGCAAUCAUUAGAAAUUUUGCAAUAUCCUCCGUCUACUUUGGUUUUAAUUAAAUUAGUCCAGUUAGAAAUCCUGCUAAGUAGAUACCACAAUGAUUUUUUUUCAGUAAUUCAUGAGACUGUGAACAGUCAUGGUCAGUAUAUUUUAUGAUUCAGAAAGGUGAAAAUUCAUAGUGGUAUAGAUAUUGAUGUUACUACGUGCAGGCAGAAGAACCAAGCAUGAAAUUUCCAUAAAUAAUUUAUAUGAUUGCAAGUUGCGUUGGAAGUUGCUCAGGUUUAAUUGCUCAUUGUUUUCUGUGGUUUCGAAGACGAGGCAGUAGAAGUUAAAAUGUACUCGGUAUCGAGAAUCCUGUUCUUCAUAUUCAUACUGGUUUUAUUUCAUACAGUGCAGAAUGCAAAUAUUCCAGAUUAUGAAGAAUUUGAACCAAUUGUUGUACCAAGUAACAGAAGAGAAGCUCGACUUGAACUAGGAUACGACAAUUUCAAAACAGUAAAAUCAUCGAAUCCGUCAGAGGUCCAUGGAAACAAUUGGGAAUAUUAUCAGUGAAGGAUUUGAUAAUUGAGUUCAAUGAAUUAUUGAAAUAUAUUGUGUAUAUAAUCCUUGAAAUAUGAAUAAAUAAUUAAAUUAUCAUUCAAUUCAAAUGAAAUAAAUUUCGGACUCAA